rnacentral:rRNA from 1 species
CUACGGGGCGCUGCAGUGGGGAAUAUUGCACAAUGGGGGAAACCCUGAUGCAGCGACGCCGCGUGAAGGAUGAAGGAUUUCGGUUCGUAAACUUCUAUCAGCAGGGAAGAUAGUGACUGUACCUGACUAAGAAGCCCCGGCUAACUACGUGCCAGCAGCCGCGGUAAUACGUAGGGGGCAAGCGUUAUCCGGAAUUACUGGGUGUAAAGGGUGCGUAGGCGGUCUGUUAAGCCAGAUGUGAAAGCCCGGGGCUCAACCUCGGGACUGCAUUUGGAACUGGCAGACUAGAAUACAGGAGAGGUAAGUGGAAUUCCUAGUGUAGCGGUGAAAUGCGUAGAUAUUAGGAGGAACACCAGUGGCGAAGGCGACUUACUGGACUGUUAUUGACGCUGAGGCACGAAAGCGUGGGGAGCGAACAGGAUUAGAUACCCGGGUAGUC